CUACUGGGGUUUCUAAUCCUGUUCGCUCCCCAUGCUUUCGCUCCUCAGCGUCAGUUACAGCCCAGAGACCUGCCUUCGCCAUCGGUGUUCCUCCUGAUAUCUGCGCAUUCCACCGCUACACCAGGAAUUCCAGUCUCCCCUACUGCACUCUAGUCUGCCCGUACCCACCGCAGAUCCGGGGUUAAGCCCCGGACUUUCACGACAGACGCGACAAACCGCCUACGAGCUCUUUACGCCCAAUAAUUCCGGAUAACGCUCGCACCCUACGUAUUACCGCGGCUGCUGGCAC
rnacentral:rRNA from 1 species